GUGAACGCUGGCGGUAGGCCUAACACAUGCAAGUCGCACGGCAGCACAGUAAGAGCUUGCUCUUACGGGUGGCGAGUGGCGGACGGGUGAGGAAUACAUCGGAAUCUACUUUUUCGUGGGGGAUAACGUAGGGAAACUUACGCUAAUACCGCAUACGACCUACGGGUGAAAGCAGGGGAUCUUCGGACCUUGCGCGAUUGAAUGAGCCGAUGUCGGAUUAGCUAGUUGGCGGGGUAAAGGCCCACCAAGGCGACGAUCCGUAGCUGGUCUGAGAGGAUGAUCAGCCACACUGGAACUGAGACACGGUCCAGACUCCUACGGGAGGCAGCAGUGGGGAAUAUUGGACAAUGGGCGCAAGCCUGAUCCAGCCAUACCGCGUGGGUGAAGAAGGCCUUCGGGUUGUAAAGCCCUUUUGUUGGGAAAGAAAAGCGGCAGGUUAAUACCCCGCUGUUCUGACGGUACCCAAAGAAUAAGCACCGGCUAACUUCGUG
rnacentral:rRNA from 1 species